CCUAAAAACUACGAGAUCAAACUUUUCAAAAAUUCAAGAAAUCGGCCAAACUUACAACUCGUGAUCCUGACGUCCAAUUCAUGCCAACGAAGCACUCCGAGCUUCCUUGGGAUUUCCUUAAGCUCACUGUGAGCUUGGUUUGGCCUAAAACACAACCAAUUCAAAGCUCAUGAACAGUACACAUUCACGGCAACUUUAGAAACUAGGGUUUUCGAAGUGAAACUUACCUUAAAUUGGUACCUACGUGAUCGUGGAGUCCUCAGGAAUGCAAUGGUGGUUUUAGAUCCGGCGUUGGUAUUAGUUUUAGGUGGUUUUGGAGCUUGUCCGUACAUUUGAGAGGGAGAGAACAGAGAGUGAGAGUUCGUGAGGGAUGAGAAAGAGUGAACUGAGAGAGAGAGUGCGGGAAUUGAGGGAAAGGUAUCCCGUGUGUGUGGCCCAAAACAACCCUAACCACACCAAUUCAACCUAAAAAUAUAAGUUCACAAAUCAAUUAUAAAUUCCACCUUCAAAUAACUUAGGAACAUAUAUUUUACCAAUAUAUAAUUCACAUAUCUUAAUCACGUUUAAGGGCAAUUUCGUCAAUUCAUAAUCACGAGUGUAAAACUUUGGGACGGGCUGUGACAAUCUACCCACCUUAUAAAAUUUCGUCCCCGAAAUUUCAUACAAUCAACUAAAU
rnacentral:lncRNA from 1 species